AAAAAGACAAACCCUGGUUUCCGUGCCCAACGUUUGACCGUCCGUCUUAUUUAAAAAAAUUAUAAAAAAAAUUAAAAAGAUAAGUCACGCAUAAAAUAUUAAUCAUGUUUUAUCAUCUAACAACAAUAAAAAUACGAAUUAUAAAAAAAAAUUCAUAUAAGACGGAUAGUCAAAGUUGGACACGGAAACCCAGGGUUUGUCUUUUU
rnacentral:pre_miRNA from 1 species